rnacentral:rRNA from 1 species
GACGAACGCUGGCGGCGUGCUUAACACAUGCAAGUCGAACGGAAAGGCCCUGCUUUUGUGGGGUGCUCGAGUGGCGAACGGGUGAGUAACACGUGAGUAACCUGCCCUUGACUUUGGGAUAACUUCAGGAAACUGGGGCUAAUACCGGAUAGGAGCUCCUGCUGCAUGGUGGGGGUUGGAAAGUUUCGGCGGUUGGGGAUGGACUCGCGGCUUAUCAGCUUGUUGGUGGGGUAGUGGCUUACCAAGGCUUUGACGGGUAGCCGGCCUGAGAGGGUGACCGGCCACAUUGGGACUGAGAUACGGCCCUGACUCCUACGGGAGGCAGCAGUGGGGAAUAUUGCACAAUGGGCGGAAGCCUGAUGCAGCAACGCCGCGUGCGGGAUGACGGCCUUCGGGUUGUAAACCGCUUUCGCCUGUGACGAAGCGUGAGUGACGGUGAUGGGUAAAGAAGCACCGGCUAACUACGUGCCAGCAGCCGCGGUGAUACGUAGGGUGCGAGCGUUGUCCGGAUUUAUUGGGCGUAAAGGGCUCGUAGGUGGUUGAUCGCGUCGGAAGUGUAAUCUUGGGGCUUAACCCUGAGCGUGCUUUCGAUACGGGUUGACUUGAGGAAGGUAGGGGAGAAUGGAAUUCCUGGUGGAGCGGUGGAAUGCGCAGAUAUCAGGAGGAACACCAGUGGCGAAGGCGGUUCUCUGGGCCUUUCCUGACGCUGAGGAGCGAAAGCGUGGGGAGCGAACAGGCUUAGAUACCCUGGUAGUCCACGCUGUAAACGGUGGGUACUAGGUGUGGGGUCCAUUCCACGGGUUCCGUGCCGUAGCUAACGCUUUAAGUACCCCGCCUGGGGAGUACGGCCGCAAGGCUAAAACUCAAAGGAAUUGACGGGGCCCCGCACAAGCGGCGGAGCAUGCGGAUUAAUUCGAUGCAACGCGUAGAACCUUACCUGGGUUUGACAUGGAUCGGGAGUGCUCAGAGAUGGGUGUGCCUCUUUUGGGGUCGGUUCACAGGUGGUGCAUGGCUGUCGUCAGCUCGUGUCGUGAGAUGUUGGGUUAAGUCCCGCAACGAGCGCAACCCUUGUUCACUGUUGCCAGCACGUUAUGGUGGGGACUCAGUGGAGACCGCCGGGGUCAACUCGGAGGAAGGUGGGGAUGACGUCAAGUCAUCAUGCCCCUUAUGUCCAGGGCUUCACGCAUGCUACAAUGGCUGGUACAGAGAGUGGCGAGCCUGUGAGGGUGAGCGAAUCUCGGAAAGCCGGUCUCAGUUCGGAUUGGGGUCUGCAACUCGACCUCAUGAAGUCGGAGUCGCUAGUAAUCGCAGAUCAGCAACGCUGCGGUGAAUACGUUCCCGGG